rnacentral:rRNA from 1 species
CCUACGGGAGGCAGCAGUAGGGAGUCUUCCACAAUGGACGCAAGUCUGAUGGAGCAACGCCGCGUGAGUGAAGAAGGGUUUCGGCUCGUAAAGCUCUGUUGUUAAAGAAGAACGUGGGUGAGAGUAACUGUUCACCCAGUGACGGUAUUUAACCAGAAAGCCACGGCUAACUACGUGCCAGCAGCCGCGGUAAU